AGACCGAUAGCGAACAAGUAGAGUGAUCGAAAGAUGAAAAGCACUUUGAAAAGAGGGUUAAACAGCACGUGAAAUUGUUAAAAGGGAAGCGCUUGUGACCAGACUUGCGUCCGGUGAAUCACCCAGCUCUCGCGGCUGGGGCACUUCGCCGGCACAGGCCAGCAUCAGCUUGCCGUCGGGGACAAAAGCUUCAGGAACGUAGCUCUCUUCGGGGAGUGUUAUAGCCUGUUGCAUAAUACCCUUCGGCGGGCUGAGGUACGCGCUCCGCAAGGAUGCUGGCGUAAUGGUCAUCAGCGACCCGUCUUGAAACACGGACCAAG
rnacentral:rRNA from 1 species